AAGGCUUCUUGGCCUUUUGGCUAAGAUCAAGUGUAGUAAAUAAAUAAAUAAAUAAAUAAUGUACUCCAAACUACAUUUGUGGGAAGAGGCAGGGCAAUUUUGAAAAAAAUGUUUUCUACCUACUUGCAUGCAAACUUUCCAUGUACUUGAAACUAGAGAAGUGAUUGGCACAUCUUACCUUUUUUAGUACCUUUU